rnacentral:ncRNA from 1 species
AACAGAGUAGGAAAUAAAGCGUUAAGUGCCGAAAGGAUGGGAUGUUGCCUUUUGGACGAAGUAUGAUAUUACAAAAGUAUAGAGCAAUUUUUUGAAAAGAUUAGGUAUUUCGCUUUUCAUGAU